rnacentral:rRNA from 1 species
UCAAGUGACUAAGUGCAUGUGGCGGAUGCCUUGGCGAUCACAGGCGAAGAAAGACGCGGCAGCCUGCGAAAAGCUGCGGGGAGCUGGCAAACGAGCUUUGAUCCGCAGAUAUCUGAAUGGGGGAACCCACACCGCAAGGUGUAUCCGUAGCUGAAUACAUAGGUUACGGAGGCGAACGAGGAGAACUGAAACAUCUAAGUAUCCUCAGGAAAAGAAAUCAACCGAGAUUCCGGCAGUAGCGGCGAGCGAACCCGGAGGAGCCUAGCUUUUGAUAGUACGAACUUUAGCCGAAAGGUCCUGGAAAGGCCUGCUAUAGUGGGUGAUAGCCCCGUAGGCGAAAGAGUUGGUACGGUACUAAGGAAGCGAGAAGUAGAGCGGGACACGUGGAAUCCUGUUCGAAGACGGGGGGACCAUCCUCCAAGGCUAAAUACUCGUGAUCGACCGAUAGUGAACCAGUACCGUGAGGGAAAGGCGAAAAGAACCCCGGGAGGGGAGUGAAAUAGAACCUGAAACCGCAUGCAUACAAACAGUAGGAGCCUCGUCAGAGGUGACUGCGUACCUUUUGCAUAAUGGGUCAGCGACUUACAUUCUGUGGCGAGCUUAACCGAAUAGGGGAGGCGCAGCGAAAGCGAGUUCGAAAUGAGCGUCCAGUCGCAGGGUGUAGACCCGAAACCAGAUGAGCUAUCCAUGGCCAGGUUGAAGGUGUGGUAACACACACUGGAGGACCGAACCGACUAGUGUUGCAAAAUUAGCGGAUGAGCUGUGGAUAGGGGUGAAAGGCCAAACAAAUCUGGAGAUAGCUGGUUCUCCCCGAAAACUAUUGAGGUAGUGCCUCGUGUGUCGCUCCAGGGGGUAGAGCACUGUUUUGGCUAGGGGGACAUGGAGUCUUACCAAACCAAGGCAAACUCCGAAUACCUGGAAGCGUAAGCACGGGAGACAGAGCACCGGGUGCUAACGUCCGGACUCAAAAGGGAAACAACCCAGACCGCCGGCUAAGGUCCCCAAUAACAGCUAAGUGGAAAACGAAGUGGAAAGGCCGUGACAACCAGGAAGUUGGCUUAGAAGCAGCCAUCCUUCAAAGAAAGCGUAAUAGCUCACUGGUCGAGUCCUUCUGCGCGGAAGAUGUAACGGGGCUAAGCUGUUAACCGAAGCCGCGGAUGCACUGAUUAUUCAGUGCGUGGUAGGGGAGCGUUCUGUAAGUCUGCGAAGGCGGUUCGAGAGGACUGCUGGAGAUAUCAGAAGUGCGAAUGCUGACAUGAGUAACGUUAAAGCAGGUGAAAAGCCUGCUCGCCGUAAGCCCAAGGAUUCCUGCUCUACGUUCAUCGGAGCAGGGUGAGUCGGCUCCUAAGGUCAGGCCGAAAGGCGUAGCCGAUGGGAAUCAGGUUAAUAUUCCUGAACCUGCGUCAGAUGCGAUGGGGGGACGGAGCAUGGAAGAUCAUCCGGGUGUUGGAAGUCCCGGUUGUUUAGCGUAGGAGGUCUGCAGGCAAAUCCGCAGACGCAUCUCCAAGGCAAAGACACGUGCCGCCACGGCGGCGAAGUGAUCGGAAGUGCUUCCAAGAAAAGCCUCUAAGCACCAGUCUGACGCGGACCGUACCGCAAACCGACACUGGUGGGCGAGCUGAAUAUGCUCAGGCGCUUGAGAGAACUCGGGAGAAGGAACUCGGCAAAUUGACACCGUAACUUCGGAAGAAGGUGUGCCGUAGUACCGUGAGAGGAGAGACACCUUGAGCGGGAAUCGGUCUCAGAGAAUAGGUGGCUGCGACUGUUUAUUAAAAACACAGCACUCUGCAAAGUCGAAAGACGACGUAUAGGGUGUGAUGCCUGCCCGGUGCUGGAAGAUUAAUUGAUGGGGUGAGAGCCCUUGAUCGAAGUCCCAGUAAACGGCGGCCGUAACUAUAACGGUCCUAAGGUAGCGAAAUUCCUUGUC